AAGAGUCACUGGAUGCUUUUAGUUCUUUGCUUGUCUAAACGUGAGGUCUACAUAUUUGAUUCUCAACAGAAGAAGAGAAAUUUGAUGAUUAAGGAGCCACUAAACAAUGUGCUCAACAACCGGGAUCACUAGAUUGUGGCUACUACGUCAUGCGUUUUAUGUACGACAUAAUAAUGAAUCAUGGUAAUAGUCAAGAUCUUACUAAGGAUUUUUCAAGAACAUUGCCUUAUUCACCGGAGGAGAUUAAUGAGGUGAAAGAUUUUUGGGCAGAUUACUUCAUGAACAAUGUCGAAUUUUUAGCUUAAUUUGUAAUAUGAACUCGAUCUCUAGCUAGCUACCUUUGUUGUAAUAAUUUUAUGUUUGUUGUAACAUGUUGGUUGAUCUAUGAC